AAAACUUUCAACAACGGAUCUCUUGGUUCUGGCAUCGAUGAAGAACGCAGCGAAAUGCGAUAAGUAAUGUGAAUUGCAGAAUUCAGUGAAUCAUCGAAUCUUUGAACGCACAUUGCGCCCCUCGGUAUUCCGGGGGGCAUGCCUGUUCGAGCGUCAUUG
rnacentral:rRNA from 30 species